AUUGAACGCUGGCGGCAGGCCUAACACAUGCAAGUCGAGCGGAUGAAGGGAGCUUGCUCCUGGAUUCAGCGGCGGACGGGUGAGUAAUGCCUAGGAAUCUGCCUGGUAGUGGGGGAUAACGUCCGGAAACGGGCGCUAAUACCGCAUACGUCCUGAGGGAGAAAGUGGGGGAUCUUCGGACCUCACGCUAUCAGACGAGCCUAGGUCGGAUUAGCUAGUUGGUGGGGUAAAGGCCUACCAAGGCGACGAUCCGUAACUGGUGUGAGAGGAUGAACACUGAAACUCGAACUGAUAAACGGUCCUGACCACCACGGGGGGCGGCGGUGGGGAAUGUUGGAAACUGAGCGAAAGCAUGAUCCAGCCAAGCCGCGGCAGUGAAGAAGAACCUCGGAUUGUAAAGCACUUUAAGUGGGGAGGAAGGGCAGUAAGAUAAAACCUUGCUGUUUUGACGUUACCAACAGAAUAAGCACCGGCUAACUUCGUG
rnacentral:rRNA from 1 species